AUGCCCGUCUCGGUCAUCCCAACUCCACCGUUAUGCGUCAGAUUCUUCAAAGUUUUUCUUUCUCAUGUAAUAAAGUCGACGAUCACUCUUGUGAAGCUUGCCGUCUUGGCAAGCACGUUCGUCUUCCCUUUAGCGCGUCUACAAACAUUUCCACCUUUCCGUUUCAGUUGUUGCAUAGUGAUGUUUGGACGUCCCCGGUUGCUAGCAACACGGGCUAUUUAUACUAUCUGGUGA
rnacentral:rRNA from 1 species